AUGGCGCCGGUUAACAGCUCGCGCCGCCUCAACGGCACACUGCUCGCGCUCGCGCUCGUGGCCGCCGCUGCCGUCGCCGACUUCGCCGCGGCGCGAGGGGUGCACACCGUGGCCGCCAGGCACGAGCUGUGGAUGGCCAAGUUCGGGCGCGCGUACGCGGACGCUGAAGAGAAACUGAGCCGGCAGGAGGUGUUCGCGGCCAACGCGCAGCACGUCGACGCUGUCAACCGGGCGGGCGACCGGACGUACACGCUCGGGCUCAACCAGUUCUCCGACCUCACCGACGACGAGUUCCUCGAGAUGCACCUCGGCUACCGUCACCAGCGCGGCGUGGACUACGCGCCGGUGGCAGCGGUGAACAUGUCCAAGGCUGCCGCUGGCCAGUUCCAGGACACGCCGGACAGCAUGGACUGGAGGGCCCAGGGUGCCCUCACCCAAGUCAAGAACCAGCUCUCCUGCGGGAGUUGCUGGGCGUUCGCGGCGGUGGCGGCGACGGAGGGGCUCGUGAAGAUCGCCACCGGCGACCUCAUCUCCAUGUCGGAGCAGCAGGUGCUCGACUGCACGGGCGGCGCCAACACCUGCAACGCCGGCGACAUCAACGCCGCGCUGCGCUACGUCGCCGCGAGCGGCGGCCUGCAGCCGGAGGCAGCCUACGCGUACAACGGCCAGCAGGGCGCGUGCCGCAGCGGCGGCGUCAUGCCAAACUCGGUCGCCUCCGUCGGCGCGCCGCGGUGGGCGACCCUGUACGGCGACGAGGGCGCGUUGCAGGAGCUCGCGGCCAGCCAGCCGGUGGCCGUGGGCGUGGAGGCAUCGGACCCUGACUUCCGGCACUACAUGAGCGGCGUGUACUCCGGUAGCUCGUCGUGCGGGCAGAGGCUGAACCACGCCGUGACGGUGGUGGGCUACGGGGCGGACGGCAGCGGGCAGGAGUACUGGGUGGUGAAGAACCAGUGGGGGACGGGAUGGGGCGAGGCGGGCUACAUGCGCCUCUCGCGCGGGAACGGCGCCAACUGCGGCAUCGCCACCUACGCCUACUACCCGACCAUGGACAGCUAA
rnacentral:rRNA from 1 species